rnacentral:rRNA from 1 species
UCGAACCUGAAAGCAGACCCCGCGAACACGUUUUUAACACGCUCGGGCUCACACCGUCGGGUGCCUCUCUCGGCGUCCUUCGCUGUGCUCCCUCCCCCGUCGGCGCACGCGUGCGUGCGCCUUUCGGGUCAACCAAACACACCGGCGCGGCAUGCGCCAAGGAAAACUGUAAACAGAAACACACUCGCCCCUCGAAGUAUCUUCUGCGGUGCUUUGUGAGGCGAUAAGGUGUCUCUUGAACGAUAAAAAAUGACUCUCGGCAACGGAUAUCUCGGCUCUCGCAUCGAUGAAGAACGUAGCGAAAUGCGAUACUUGGUGUGAAUUGCAGAAUCCCGUGAACCAUCGAGUCUUUGAACGCAAGUUGCGCCCGAAGCCAUUAGGCCGAGGGCACGUCUGCCUGGGCGUCACGCAUCGCGUCGCCCCUUCCCACCGCACGCACCCCUUGCCUUCGGGCAAACGGGCGCAGGUGAGGGGGGCGGACACUGGCCUCCCAUGCACUCACUCGGUGUGGCUGGCCCAAAUGUGAUUCCGCGCUGACUGACAGGCGUCACGACCAGUGGUGGUUGAAUCAAUCGCGUGCUGUCGUGCGAGACUCUGUCAAGUGCCGGACAUCGUUA